AUAAAAUAUGGGCGUUAAAACUUAGAGCUGAGAAAGAUACUAUUUAAAUUUCUGGUUGAUGCCACCAAAUGGAACCUCAAAGUUCCAAUCCAUCUUUUAUUUUAGAGACUCAUCAAGUUUACUAAAAAACUUCGUCUGGCCUCAACAGAGCUAAAAUCUAAUGGAGAGAGUAGGAAGAACCUACCACACAUACUGAACUGAUCAAUGGACUUGAUCAAAGAUGAAGAUAGGAUUUGCUGGGACAGGUGAACUGUGGGCCCUAAGUGUUAGCUCUGCAGAAGGGUCAGUGACAGCAUCUUUCCAGGGUUUCCUCCAUGCUUUGCAUGCUUUCAGUUUUUUCCAUAGCAGGGCUCAUGUAUCUUGUACACUUAGGGGUUGCUAUCCAAGUACUUGACUUUUAGUUUGAAAUCCAGAAUGACUGCAGUAUAGUUUGUAGUUUCAAGGAUAAUUCAGGGCAUUGAUGCCAGAGGAAAAUAGAAUCAAAAUACUUUUACUGAUGGAGCACUUAUUUGUCUGAAUAAACUUAAAGCCCUCAGCAUCUGCAUACAUCCUAGAAUUCCUUCUUCCGCGGAUACCCUUGUGCACCUAGCCAUGAGCUCCAUGGAGUGUUAGCUGUCCUAAGACUUUCCAAAGGACCCACUCCAUUUAAAAAUGAGUGUGCAGUAAAAUGUUGCAGAUACUUUAAUCUUUUGUUUAAUAGAAUAAUAAGAAAACUUCUGGGCAAAAAGUUAUAAGCCAAUAACUUAAACCAAACCCCCCCCCAAAAAGAAAAAGGUAAAACAUAGAUUUAAAAACUGUAUUUCUUCCUUUUCCAAUUUUUUUGGAAACACAUGGAUGUAUGGCUACAGAAAUUUUUUGAAAGAACCAAAAUCUUUGGUCAUGAAUGUGAAACGUAAAAAUUAAAAUUUGCAUUGCUGAUAAUGUUUCCAUAAGAAAAGCAACUAGGGGGAAAAAAAGUACUCUCUACAUUGUUCUAAGACGGAUGCUUAAUAGACUAUUCGACAGCCAACUGUUAAUGGGAUUGAAUGUGUGGAUAAUGAGAGAUUAGAACUGCCAAAAUAGUAUCAGGGAUGACUCCAAGAAUAAAUAGGAUGGGGUGGUUGGAAUGUAAUCAUGACAAUGCAAACAUUACUGUCAUAUUUAUUGCAAAUAAAUGUAGGUAUUGCCCAGUGUCUUAGUUAGGGUUUUGCUGCUGUGAACAGACACCAUGACCAAGGCAAGUCUUAUAAAAACAACAUUUAAUUGGGGCUGGCUUACAGGUUCAAUCCACUAUCAUCAAGGUGGGAGCAUGGCAGCAUGCAGGCAGGCAGGCAUGAUGCAGGAGGAGCUGAGAGUUCUAUGUCUUUAUCCAAAGGCUGCUAGUGGAAGACUGACUUCCAGGCAACUAGAGUGAGGAUCUUAUGCCCACACCCACAGUGACACACCUACUCCAACCAGGUCACACCUAUUCCAACAAGGCCACACCUCCAAAUGGUGCCACUUCCUGGCCCAAGAAUAUACAAACCAUCACAUCCAGUUUUCCCCUAUUGUCUGCCAGGAUAGAAAGAUUAAGGGGAGGUAAGUGUGAAGAGGGCAGAGGGUCUCACAUCCUGCUUUGCUUUGGCCCUAGAUGAAAUCCAGCCAUUCAUAGUAGCAUCAGCUUAUUGUCCCAUAUAGCUUAGAGGCCAGUACUAUGUCACAGCAUUCCCCAUUCCACAAAAGCCAGACGUUUGAAAUAAUUGUUUUUCUGAUUUUGUAGAAAGAAGUGUAGGGUAUCCAUAUGCCCUUUUCUUGUAGAUUUCGAAGUUACCUUGGCACUCCAGAUCCUUAAGGAGCCCUGUGUGACCUGUAGUUUCUGCAUGGCUCUUCCUUUUCCUGCCUAGGUACCGUCAUGCCACUUCUCCAUCUCAUGUCCCACUUUGCCCACCUCCUAGACACAUUGUCUGCCUACUUCACUUUGCUUUUCAGAGGAAUUCACAACCUAGCCUACGCUUGUGUCUGUUUCUUCUGCUUCCCCUCUGCAUACCCUCAUUCCAAAGCCACACUAUGUAGUUCUUUGAGGUCAGCAUUUUGCAUCUUUUCAUUAUUUUUUCAUAUGUUAUAUUUUUAUUAUACUAAUAAUCUCUCUCACUCUGGAUUUCUAUCAGAUCCUUCCCACUUCCCUAGUCACCCAACUUCAUGUUCUUUCUCACAUUGUUCAACAGUAGCAAUAGCAACAUAACC
rnacentral:lncRNA from 1 species